rnacentral:rRNA from 1 species
UACGUAGGGGGCGAGCGUUGUCCGGAUUUAUUGGGCGUAAAGAGCGUGUAGGCGGCCAGGUAGGUCUGCUGUGAAAACUCGAGGCUCAACCUCGAGACGUCGGCGGAAACCAUCUGGCUAGAGUCCGGAAGAGGAGAGUGGAAUUCCUGGUGUAGCGGUGAAAUUCGUAGAUAUUCGGAAGAACACCAGUGGCGAAGGCGGCUCACUGGACUGGUAUUGACGCUGAGGUGCGAAAGCGUGGGGAGCAAACAGG